rnacentral:rRNA from 1 species
AUUGAACGCUGGCGGCAGGCUUAACACAUGCAAGUCGAACGCCCCGCAAGGGGAGUGGCAGACGGGUGAGUAACGCGUGGGAAUCUACCCAGAUCUUCGGAACAACUGAGGGAAACUUCAGCUAAUACCGGAUACGCCCUACGGGGGAAAGAUUUAUCGGUUCUGGAUGAGCCCGCGUUGGAUUAGCUAGUUGGUGAGGUAACGGCUCACCAAGGCGACGAUCCAUAGCUGGUCUGAGAGGAUGAUCAGCCACACUGGGACUGAGGCACGGCCCAGACUCCUACGGGAGGCAGCAGUGGGGAAUAUUGGACAAUGGGCGAAAGCCUGAUCCAGCCAUGCCGCGUGAGUGAUGAAGGCCUUAGGGUUGUAAAGCUCUUUCAGUAGGGAAGAUAAUGACGGUACCUACAGAAGAAGCCCCGGCUAACUUCGUGCCAGCAGCCGCCGUAACAC